UACGAAGGGUGCAAGCGUUAAUCGGAAUUACUGGGCGUAAAGGGCGCGUAGGCGGCCUUCUAAGUCAGACGUGAAAUCCCCCGGCUUAACCUGGGAACUGCGUCUGAUACUGGGAGGCUUGAGUAUGGGAGAGGGAUGUAGAAUUCCAGGUGUAGCGGUGAAAUGCGUAGAUAUCUGGAGGAAUACCGGUGGCGAAGGCGGCAUCCUGGACCAUAACUGACGCUGAGGCGCGAAAGCUAGGGGAGCAAACGGG
rnacentral:rRNA from 1 species